UUCCGUAGGUGAACCUGCGGAAGGAUCAUUACAGAAUGAAAAGUGCUUAACUGCAUUUUUUCUUACACAUGUGUUUUUCUUUUUUUGAAAACUUUGCUUUGGUAGGCCUUCUAUAUGGGGCCUGCCAGAGAUUAAACUCAACCAAAUUUUAUUUAAUGUCAACCGAUUAUUUAAUAGUCAAAACUUUCAACAACGGAUCUCUUGGUUCUCGCAUCGAUGAAGAACGCAGCGAAAUGCGAUAAGUAAUAUGAAUUGCAGAUAUUCGUGAAUCAUCGAAUCUUUGAACGCACAUUGCGCCCUUUGGUAUUCCAAAGGGCAUGCCUGUUUGAGCGUCAUUUCUCCCUCAAACCCUCGGGUUUGGUGUUGAGCGAUACGCUGGGUUUGCUUGAAAGAAAGGCGGAGUAUAAACUAAUGGAUAGGUUUUUUCCACUCAUUGGUACAAACUCCAAAACUUCUUCCAAAUUCGACCUCAAAUCAGGUAGGACUACCCGCUGAACUUAAGCAUAUCAAUAAGCGGAGGAA
rnacentral:rRNA from 1 species